rnacentral:rRNA from 1 species
UUGGCCUCUUGCUAGCUUCGGCCGGGAGAGGAAUUUUACACACACUCGAAUGUAAUGAAAUAUACUGCUGUGCGCAAGCACGAAUGUACAACUUUCAACAACGGAUCUCUUGGCUCUCGCAUCGAUGAAGAACGCAGCGAAAUGCGAUAAGUAAUGUGAAUUGCAGAAUUCAGUGAAUCAUCGAAUCUUUGAACGCACCUUGCACCCUUUGGCAUUCCGAAGGGUAUGCUCGUUUGAGUGUCAUUGUACUCUCACACUCCCGAUCUUUGGAUUGGGAGCGGUGGACUUGGGUGUUGCUGCUUACCGUGGCUCACCUCAAAUGGAGUAGUGCACCUCUCGGUUGGACAUAGUACGGCGUGAUAAGUGUCUUCGCCGGCACCUCACUUAGAGGGUGGCCGAUCGGGAGCUCUGUGCUUCAAACCGUCUUCGGACAACAACUGACAACUUGACCUCAAAUCGAGUAGGACCACCCGCUGAACUUAAGCAUAUCAAUAAGCGGAGGAAG